AGAAUGCAGUCUUGCCCAGCUAAUAAUUUAGCUUAUACAGCGCCGUACUUGAGGUUCCAACCCACUUACUUAAACUUUCAGCCCCUGAAAAAUGCCUCACUCGGUUUAGUGAAAAUAAAACAUUUGUUUUCAACUCCGGAGGUUGGAACUUUUCAACCUUGCGCACAACUAUUUAAGAGAUCUUUGCAAGACGAUGAGCAGCUGGUGUUCAAUAAUUUUUUUAAUUCAGAAAACGGAUUAAUUAUGGGCUUUUUAUGCGCCUUUUUUUUCUUGUUUACCGUUAUUAUAAGUGUUGCUCUUGUAAGUUCAGUACAGUCGCCACGCAUCCAUCUGGAUACCGGUGUCCAA